ensembl:lncRNA
AGGAUUUGAAGCAGUGAUUAUGUGUUUACAAAGAAAAAAAAAAAAAAAAAAAAAAAAAAAAAGGAAAAAAAAAAAAGAAAAAAAAAAAAAAAAGGAAAAGAAGAAAAGAAGAGCCGGGAGGAUAGGUUGUUCAGUUUACUACUGGAGACCUGACUGUGACUGAGCGUCGGGAAAACAUUUUUAAGGGAGGAAGGAAUUGCUGCGGCAGCAUCUCCGAGUCUCUCUCCUUUUUCUCCUCUGAGUUACAUAGGAUAACUUGGCCAGAACUUACUGAUGACUGCACGGCCAGCGGAGCCGGGAAUGGGAAAUGCAGGAAGGCGCUCUUUGGCAGGAGCAGAAGAGGAGGCAUUUCAAAGAUCCUGCAGGUGACCGAGGUGGUGAUCUGCUGCUAGAAUAAAUAAAUUUCAGGAAGUGCCAAGGCUGCUCAGCCAUUUACUGUGAUAUCACUCCUACAUAAGGAACUUACCAACUUUCUCCAAUUAUCUCCUCUAUUACGCUCCUGUGAGCUCCCAGCCAGCAUCAACAUCUGCACGGCUUUCAUCCCUUCGUCCCCUUGUCAUGUCCCCUCCAUUGGCAUGUCACUUUCUCAUCCCAUUCUCCUGGUGGAGACGUCUUCUACUUGAUUGCUGCUUAAUGAGAAAGAUGAAGUAAUGCAACUGGAGAUGACAGCCACAGCCAGGUGGUUCUACCAGACCAAGAGCCAACUUGCAGCUACCAUGGCUGAAGUCAAUGGAAAAAGCUGAACUCCCCUGGAAGGCAAUUCAAAGCAGAAAACAAGCUUCAUGCUCUCUCUUUUCCACCCAAGGCAGGUUAGGACAAAGCCAAAGUGCCUCUUUCUGGAUAAUCCCCUCCUUGCUUUUCUUAACAUAUUUCUUUGUUGGAUUAAAUGUGGCUCAGCGUGGGAGUUGACCUGGACAACUGCUGACAAAUGAGUAUAAAAAGCUACACCUGAGUGGAACAAUUGCAGGGAAUGCUGUUGUACAGCUCUACAGGCUCGUUUGGCUCAGAGUGAAGGAGGACUGGCAGCAAAGAGUGACAGCUUUAUUUGUACACCAGUUUCAGGUGUAAACAACAACUGCUUUAUGCAAAACCUUCUGUCCAUAAAGCUCUUAUUCUGCUUAGGGAACUGCUGAGAAAUUACCAAACCCUUGUCAGGUGCAGAUGUUGUUUAUUUCUCUAAAGAUAUAUAUAUGUAUUUGCUUUUGAUGACUUACUUUUGCUACCAGCAGCUAUAACCAACAUCUGCUUGAAAUAACUCUUACGGCCUGCUUUUCUCCUCUGUGCUGUGUUGCCAUUCCUAUUGAAAUUCCAUGUAACCAUGGGCAGUGUCAGCUUGUGGCACUGGGUAGCUGUGAGCUGAGCAUGAAAAUGUGCACAAGCAAGCAACAGGCACACAUACGAUCAGGUACAACUAUAAAGCAGAAGGAGCUCUGUAUGCUGCCAGUGCAGGAGAGCACUGCUGGCACUCAGGCUGAAUGCUGAGAUGUCACCGAGGCAAGAUGCUGGCCUUCCUCCAGGAUUCCAGGAGUUUCUAGGGCUGGUGAGACCAGGAGGCUUGAUUCCCCAUGGGAAAUUUACCCCUUGUAGUAUGCUAAAUCUCCUCUACCACUGCCUCCCAAACCUCUCCUGUGCAGCUUUUGUGAAUCUCUCUAAGCCCAAAGCAAUAGCUGUAGCAGUGGACGUAUGGCACCGCAGGACUUAAUUAAUACAGAAGAGGAGUUUGUAUUUCUUUCUUGCAUGCAAAAAGGGUCACUGAAAACUAGUAAGGCCUUCUUUGCUCAACCUGAACCUAAAUCAACCAUUUAAAGUACUUGUGACCCUCUCAAAAAUGCAGCUUGCCUCCUGGGCCAUUUCCAUGAGCAUCUCACAGAGAUCUUCAUUUCCAGUGAGCAGCACUUGGCUCCUGAAACACAGAUGCAGAGCUGUUUGCAGAUCUACCUUGGAGCAAAAUGCAAGAAGCCUGGGAAAAAGGCCCUCAAGCUCUGCAGAGGUGUUCCCAAGCUUACAGGCAUUUCCAAGGGACACUGAUCCACAUCAUGCAUCUGAACGCAUCCCAGGUCCAAGAGGACCACAACAGUUAAGCUAUGCUAAGUACCAAUGUGGGUGAGGAGUGAGUGCCCCAUUCUCUUCUGUCACUUCUGCGAAGGUGGAGGUGAUCUCCAGCAGGGGAAAAUAGCACUGUAUAUCACCAUGCCCUUAAGACAAGGGAGCAGCAGACAAAGCCCUAUGUGUCUCUGAGAUUGAAGUUAAAGCACUUUACAACCUUUGGGAAACAAAUUUCAGGAUGCUGCCAGCAAAUUUUAUAGGUAGGCUUUCAAUUUUCAUUCUGUUAAUGAGAGAAUACAGGUAAAAGGGGUGUGAUUAUUCCCUCUGUUGUAAAAUAUACCAUCAAACACAUAACAUGUCCCCAAACCAGAAUGACAGGGUCUUGUGUGGACCCUUGGAGACAUCAGCAUUACCUUCUGCUUCCUGUGGCACAAAUACAGAGCUCAGCGGGAUCAAACUUUCCACUGUCCUAACAAAAAGUUAAUGCUGAAAAUGUGCCUUUUUAAAACGUUUGUAAUUGGCAGCUCCUGCCAAGUAUUAGGAGGCCAGUAAAAUCUCUCUACAUAAAUUGUGUUGUAAUUAACGUGAUUUGUUUAAUGUCACCUUGUCUGGCUGUCGGAGAAACUGUCUCAAAAUGUAAAAACACCGCAUUUUUCAGUUGAGAGAGUGGAUUCUGGCUGCACCGAGACAUUUUUAUUUCUCUCUUCUAUUUUACAGUGGCCUUUACAAAUCUCUCAGGCUGGUGAACCCAAGCAAAGUUAAUCAAGAAUUCUCUGAUGACAAAAAUCACAGCCAUAAGACACAGUAACAACAAGCAUUGCAUUUUUUCUUAAUAAAGUGCCCAGAAAAAGUACACGAGGUCUUACAUCUACCUGGGUGCAGCAACCUGAUAAAAUGACAGUAGCCAUCCCCAUCCUGUGAAUGUCAUCGGGAGCUGUAGAAACAUAAAGAAGAGAAACACAAAAGCAGGAGCCUUUUCAAGCCUGAGGUAUGCCUCAGGGUGAGAAAGGUGCAGGAGGAGCACUGAAUGCCCAGCUCAACACCAGCAUUUUUCAACCUUAAUCUUUCUUCCAAAUGUUCUACUUUUAUUCCAACUAAUUGAACGAACAUCUUAAAAUUCACAACAUAAACUAAAUCUGAUUAAAUCUAGCUUGACUCGUAUGAUAUAGCACUGCAGCUAGAAUGCAGCUGGAAAAAAUGCAUUAUGCUAGGACAAAUAAGUAUGGUUAACUUCAAUAAGAGCAGAGGUAAAUUGCUUUUUGCGUGAGAUGCGCAAUUUUACCUUAGUGCAGCUUUAAUCAAAGUAAAAUAUUAUAGGUGGAGGGGAAAAAAACCUCACAAUGUAACAUUUUCUCUACUAACCACUCAGUGAAACUCAAGUUCAAGCUACUAAAUAAAGUCAGGUCUGUACCUUAGCUUUCCUUGGUUAGCAUGUAUACCUUUAAGACAGUAUCCAGCAAUAAAUUAUACCAGAUGCAGAUAGUCAAUGCCCAUAAAACCUAUCCAUCAGAAAUUUAUCUCCACUGAAACUUUAAUUGGAAGGGGAAGAAUGAAAUUAAGUACAGAUAUUUAAAUGUAGUCCGUCGUCUUACAGCAGUGCUUUCACAGCCAAGUGGAAAACAAAGUAAAUUAAGCAUAGCUAUUAAACAGGAUAGGAAGUAUUAGUUUUGCACUUGCAGGAAAGGAAUGUUACUCUUUGCUCUCUCUUAGCUCUUUGGUUGUCCAUAGCUGCUUUUAUAUGUACCAAUCCUGGGUACUCUGAAUUUCUGCUUAUGGCCCUCUGAGACCUAUCUUUUAAGCUGGAGGGAAAGCUAAGACAUGCUUGGGUUUUUUUGUUUUGUUUUGUUUUUUGUUUUGUUUUGUUUUGUUUUGUUUGUUUUGUUUUGUUUUGUUUUUUGGGGGGGGUUGUUUGUUUGUUUGUUUUGCCAACUUUGGUAUGCUGCUGUCAUUCCCUGCUUUACCUCUGCAGAUUCCUGCCUGGGGCAGAACAGACUUACAUACAGCCCUUUUCUCAUAGGCUGGUGUAAGGGACACAUCAAGUUGUACCAUCAUCUAGAUUGCUCCAAGCCAGAGGAUGGUGUAGCUGCGAUGCACUACAGCUCAUCCCGGGUGCUGGGAAAAGGGCUGAUAUUUGGUUACACUGAGCACUUCUCUGUGGACAGGACAGGAAAAUGCUGACAUCAUCUGCCAAGAAAGCCUCAAAAGGGUCUCGUACUCAUAUCCUUCUGCAGGAACGUACUGCAUGGCAUGUAAUCUGUGGGUACUCAUAGUCUCCAAGGGGACACCUGAUUAUAUUAAAGGUGGAUGACACACCAGACAUAUGCUUCCUUACUCAACGUGAGGCUAGAGAAGAGUCUUCCAGCCCCAGUGCACCAUCUUUUUAGAAAUUUACUCUUUAGCUUGCCACAUAGAUACCAUAAUCAGUCACUGUAACUUUAGAAGAGAAAACAACACUGGAGGCUUGGAGUCAUCAAACUUCGUGCUGAUGAAUCAUCAGGCUGCAGGCUUCUGAUAUAAAAAAAAAAUUAAAGAAGCCCUACACUGCUUGGGCUUGAGGAAAAUGAGUGAAGUUUUGUGACACAGGUCGUGAUCCACACCGUGCUGCCUCCGGGCUGACUGAUUGCAUAAGGAGAGCUGAACUUACUCAGAUCGGAACAGGAACAAAGACUGUACAAGGAUCAGAGGUGCCUGCUGACCACCACCGUGGUCACUGUAUCCUUUCUGGCCCCCAACUCCUGGCACAACUGAGGAAGGGCACCAAAGAGCAUAGGAAGGUACGGUGGAGGGUGGUGUUUCAACCCCCAGUUCUGGAUGGCCCCACCACGGGACAUGCAGCAACAUAGCCAUCAAAAAUGUACUGGGAAAACUAGUAAGGGUAGCUCUCUAUCACACAGCGUCACAUGCAAAAAGAAUGAAUUAAAGCAAAUAUAUAAAGACCGGAGUUUCAUUAAAUAUCCAGUAGCUGCGAAGAUAAGAGUUUGUUAGACAGAGGGCAGUCUGGAUAGUUUAGUACCAAGGACCUCAUGCAGUCAUUUCCCAGAACACAAGGGGUUUGCUGUCUCAUCACUCAGCACAGUUUUUACUGAUUUUAAGGCCGAAAACAUCUUAGCCCAGAUUUUAUGUGAGGUUUGUAUCUUCUUGGGAGCAAGGGAAGGAAGUACAUAACACCCUCUGGUCUCUUCAAGUACAGAACUGUUUAUACAAAAGCUAAUUCUGACGUGAUGGAAAGGUCCCAUGUGCUCUCAGCAACGUGUGUUAGGAUCCAGAACUACCUCAUCCUGUGACAGUCCCUCCCCAAACCCGUCCCAGUAACACUCCACAACCCUGAUCACACUCACUCCUAACAAGUGGACUGGCAGCAAUGGAUGGUUACCUGGGUCACCUCCAUUGGGGCAGUCCCUUCAAGGUGCAGAGGACCUAUUUCAAUUUUGGUGUGGUUUGCUUGUCCUGGGGUCACCAGGAUUGCAGAAUUAGCCCUUGACACUCUACAGAGGUCUUUGCACACCAGUGAGACAAAAUUCAGCAAAGAGUCAGUUGGGGUCUGAUGUGCUUGCCAUGGUGCAGAAGAAGGAUCCUGGUUAGACUCAUUUUAGGUAACAGCUCCUCAAAAAUGUGGUGAAUCUGGUAAAGUCUUGUUCAACACGAGUCUGAGUUGCAACAGGAAAACUGCAAAUGCUUUCGCCCCUUGCUUUUGUUUAAUUCUAAAAAUGCCUUUGGGUGACUGAGAAGUGGUGUAUGCUUUCUUGCUCUUCACUGUUGCGAAGAAUGAGAAUAACGUUCAUCGAAUGGAAGUAAGCAAGCACAGAUAUGGUAGGGACUUGGACUGCCACAUUCCUUCAAUGCUUUUUGAAUGUCUAAAGGAGUGAAGCAUGUGCAUCUACCUCCAUGUGAAAUUUGGCAAAUUGUCAGAAAACGUUUCUUGUGCCUACUGUAUGAGUUUCAAUCCACCACACCCAGAAACCUCUCAAGACUGGUAGGUCUUGAGUGCAGACGUGGAUGUUCCCUCCCAUAUAACACUCCUCCACUCCCUCCUUCCUUCACUAAAAGAUCUACCACCGCUGUCUCUUGGGUAUCAACCUAAGUUUUCUGCUCCAUGUCUGCAGCUAUGGUUUUAAUCACAUCUUUCUUGUUAGUUCAAGAAAAUGUCACUGUUGCUUCCCAACCCCUCAGUUUUAUGAGUGCACGAGUAUGUUUGUUGCACAGAGCCUUACAAGUGAUGGGAUUUAAAUGGAAGCAUUUUACCCAGCCAGAGCAGAACGUACCUCUUUUUGACUGCACACAUAUCACUGCCUUAAAAAUGCAAUACUUCAUGUAAUUUUGAUUCUGUCAGUAAAGUCUCCAUGGAAAAUGUCAUCUGGGCUUGGCUGUGAUAUAUUGAUUAAAAAUGUCCAGUGUAAAGAGGCAAGGAAAACAAAGCAAGAAAAACUCAAGUCUCUGAAUGAAAGCUUGUAUUCUCAAGAGGAAAUGAGCACUGUGUGGAAUGCAAACAUUUUCAGCUUGUGGGAGAUAGAUACUGUGUAUCAACAAAUCCAAAAUAUUUCUGGAUUACCUGAUCUUAACAAUUCAAUUUUUAGUAGGUAUAGUCAGAUGCCCACAGUCUGAAAUGACAAGAGUAAAAACAGAUCACUCACCUCAAGCUUUCUAUUACCAGUUCUUUGCUGCCGUCCCCAAGCAGGUUAAGCUAUGCCAAUGGUAAAAUGACUUACAGAAUUUCCCUGGUGCAGGCAGGCUUGAAGAAGAAAAGAAUCUAUUGCGAUUCAUGUAAGUGAAAAACUCAUGACAUUAAGUUGCUCCCCGGAGCCAUUGCUAAAUGAAUAAUGCAUAAGCAGUGUCAGUGACCCUCCCUUCCCUUAACUCAAGCACAAGAAAAAACCACCAGCAGUGGAAGGUGUCAUUCAGCCUGGUGUGAAACUACCCAACAGGAUGAGUCCUGGGCCGAAAGAGGUAUCUGCUGCUUCUUUAUAUGCGGAUUACUUUCCCCAUGACCACUCACUCCCCUCUAAAUUUUUUCUGCUCUGCGGAUUUACACACUGAAAAUAUGCAAAAGGGAAGGAGUAUAAACUCUCCCUUCGUGGUAUCACUGGCUUGCAUAUUGCAGCUCAGCAGUCAUGGACAGCAUCCAGCACUAACGCUCAAAGAGAGCUGCCGUAUUUAUGACAUAUCCAGCCUUGCAAGAGCAUGAAGGCUGGCGAGCGGUGAUUGAAGCAG